UAGAGUUUGAUCAUGGCUCAGAUUGAACGCUGGCGGCAGGCCUAACACAUGCAAGUCGAGCGGAAACGAGAAUAGCUUGCUAUUCGGCGUCGAGCGGCGGACGGGUGAGUAAUGCCUGGGAAAUUGCCCUGAUGUGGGGGAUAACCAUUGGAAACGAUGGCUAAUACCGCAUAAUAGCUUCGGCUUAAAGAGGGGGACCUUCGGGCCUCUCGCUUCAGGAUAUGCCCAGGUGGGAUUAGCUAGUUGGUGAGGUAAAGGCUCACCAAGGCGACGAUCCCUAGCUGGUCUGAGAGGAUGAUCAGCCACACUGGAACUGAGACACGGUCCAGACUCCUACGGGAGGCAGCAGUGGGGAAUAUUGCACAAUGGGCGCAAGCCUGAUGCAGCCAUGCCGCGUGUAUGAAGAAGGCCUUCGGGUUGUAAAGUACUUUCAGCAGUGAGGAAGGGUGUGUAGUUAAUAGCUGCAUACUUUGACGUUAGCUGCAGAAGAAGCACCGGCUAACUCCGUGCCAGCAGCCGCGGUAAUACGGAGGGUGCGAGCGUUAAUCGGAAUUACUGGGCGUAAAGCGCAUGCAGGUGGUUUGUUAAGUCAGAUGUGAAAGCCCGGGGCUCAACCUCGGAACCGCAUUUGAAACUGGCAGGCUAGAGUACUGUAGAGGGGGGUAGAACUUCA
rnacentral:rRNA from 1 species